rnacentral:rRNA from 1 species
CCUACGGGUGGCAGCAGUGAGGAAUAUUGGUCAAUGGGCGCGAGCCUGAACCAGCCAAGUAGCGUGAAGGAUGACUGCCCUACGGGUUGUAAACUUCUUUUAUAAAGGAAUAAAGUGAGGCAUGCGUGCCUUUUUGUCUGUACUUUAUGAAUAAGGAUCGGCUAACUCCGUGCCAGCAGCCGCGGUAAUACGGAGGAUCCGAGCGUUAUCCGGAUUUAGUGGGUUUAAAGGGAGCGUAGAUGGGUUGUUAAGUCAGUUGUGAAAGUUCGCGGCUCAACCGUAAAAUUGCAAUUGAUACUGGCAGUCGUGAGUACAGUUGAGGUAGGCGGAAUUCGUGGUGUAGCGGUGAAAUGCUUAGAUAUCACGAAGAACACCGAUUGCGAAGGCAGCUUACUAAACGGCCACUGACAUUGAGGCGCGAAAGCGUGGGGAGCAAACAGGAUUAGAUACCCUAGUAGUC